AGCUUUGUGCAGUGGCAUUGUUGUAGCCAAUGAGGUUUAUCCAGGGCACGAUUAUUGCUAAUUGAAAAAAAAG
rnacentral:snRNA from 1 species